rnacentral:rRNA from 1 species
UACGAAGGGGAGCUAGCGUUGUUCGGAAUUACUGGGCGUAAAGCGCACGUAGGCGGACUUGUAAGUCAGGGGUGAAAUCCCGGGGCUCAACCUCGGAACUGCCUUUGAUACUGCGAGUCUCGAGUCCGAUAGAGGUGGGUGGAAUUCCUAGUGGUAGAGGUGAAAUUCGUAGAUAUUGGGAAGAACACCGGUGGCGAGGCGGCUCACUGGCUCAUUACUGACGCUCAGGCGCGAUAGCGUGGGGAUCAAACAGG